CCCGCUGAACUUAAGCAUAUCAGUAAGCGGAGGAAAAGAAACUAACGAGGAUUCCCGUAGUAACGGCGAGUGAACUGGGAAGAGUCCAGCGCUGAAUCGCGGUGCCUCUGGUGCCGUGAGGUGUAGCGUAUAGACGUCGAACUUGGGUUUGGCUGCCCGUUCAAGUUUCCCUUGACCGGGGCUCCAUAGAAGGUGCAAGACCUGUCCAACGGGUGGCUUUAGCCCAUUUUCGUGCGUCUUAGAGUCGGGUUGUUUGGGAUCGCAGCCCAAAGCAGGUGGUAAACUUCAUCUAAGACUGAAUAUGACUACGAGUCCGAUAGCGAACAAGUACCGUGAGGGAAAGUUGCAAAGCACUUUGAAGAGAGAGUUAAAGAGGACGUGAAACCGGUGAGGUGGAAACGGACAGAGCUGGCGUAUCUGGCCUGCAUUCAGCCUUGGGCUCUCUGACGUUGUGGUGGUGUUCUCCAGAUUGGGAUGUCGCCGUUUCUGUUGGAGAAUUCAUGGUGCAUUUGCAGGUGGAGUGCGCUGAGGCGCCUGAGGCAGCGGCAUGAGUUUGGCUCUGAGGCUAGCCUCGCAAGAGGUCUGGUACCCGUGCCGGAGGAGUGCUGUUUGCUUUGGGUGUGCAAUGGGCAAUGGAAUCGGGCUUUAGUGGGUGCCGAGCUGGGGGUCGGUGGCGGUCGCGUGCGACACGUACCAGCAGUCAGUUCGGUCCUGCUUGAGCUCUCAUCAGCCCGUCCUCGGUGUAAAAGCCGGUCAUCUGUCCGACCCGUCUUGAAACACGG
rnacentral:rRNA from 1 species